rfam:Ailuropoda melanoleuca scaffold93_2, whole genome shotgun sequence.
GCUUUCUGAGCAGCUGGCAUAGCAACUGAGAAACCAAUUUCCUUCAGAGAGC